rnacentral:rRNA from 1 species
GACGAACCGUGCGAAUGUUGUUCGGAAUCACUGGGCUUAAAGGGCGCGUAGGCGGGCGACCAAGUCAGGGGUGAAAUCCCACGGCUCAACCGUGGAAGUGCCUUUGAUACUGGUGGUCUCGAGGGAGGUAGGGGCGUGCGGAACUUCCGGUGGAGCGGUGAAAUGCGUAGAUAUCGGAAGGAACGCCGGUGGCGAAAGCGGCGCGCUGGACCUCUUCUGACGCUGAGGCGCGAAAGCUAGGGGAGCAAACGGG